rnacentral:misc_RNA from 1 species
GAUGAAGAACGUAGCGAAAUGCGAUAAGUAAUGUGAAUUGCAGAAUUCAGUGAAUCAUCGAAUCUUUGAACGCACAUUGCGCCCGCCAGUAUUCUGGCGGGCAUGCCUGUUCGAGCGUCAUUACAACCCUCAGGCCCCCGGGCCUGGCGUUGGGGAUCGGCGGAGCCCCCCGUGGGCACACGCCGUCCCCCAAAUGCAGUGGCGGUCCCGCCGCAGCUUCCAUCGCGUAGUAGCUAACACCUCGCGACUGGAGAGCGGCGCGGCCACGCCGUAAAACACCCAACUCUUCUGAAGUCGACCUCGAAUCAGGUAGGAAUACCCGCUGAACUUAAGCAUAUCAAUAAGCGGAGGA